rnacentral:sRNA from 1 species
CCCAAGACUGCUGGGUGCUGGCAACGGGGCUUCUUGCAAACUGCCCCAGAGGGGCCCUUAGCCCUACCCCUUCCCCAUAGGGUGGCUAUGAAUGUAAUUGGGGAACACCAGAAGAGCCAGAUGUCAGAAGCCCUGCUGCUUCCUGUCCCUCUCUCUCCUCGAAAUUUUGGGAAGAACUAGGCAGGACUGAGGUGAGGGGGAGGGAAGACCUAGACAUGGCCAGGAAGCCUCUGUCAACUGCAUUUGGUGCUCGGACAAGUGAAUUUCGCAGAGGUGAUCUCUACCCACCUGUCAGGACUUUGCAUGUGGGGGCAGAGGCAUCAACCCAGCAAGACACCUAGUAGCCUGGCAAGUUCCGAGCAAAACGUUAAACAGGCAUGAAAGGAAAGAUGCUGCUCAUUGUCCAGGAGGGCGGAAGUAGAGUCCUCCAAGGAGGCAUCACUGCCUCCUCGAUCCAGUCCAGCAAGGCGUCCCAGAGGCAAGGGGACCUGCUGUGGCUUCCCACGACCCUGCCGUCACACUGAGGCACCUUGUGUCCCUGAGCAGAGUUACAUGCUCCAAGACUCCCUGGAGCACGUGCAGCUGUUUGACCUGAUGAGGAGGAUGUUAGAAUUUGACCCUGCCCAGCGCAUCACACUGGCCGAGGCCCUGCUGCACCCCUUCUUUGCUGGCCUGACCCCUGAGGAGCGGUCCUUCCACACCAGCCGCAACCCAAGCAGAUGACAGGCACAGGCCACCGCAUGAGGAGAUGGAGGGCGGGACUGGGCCGCCCAGCCCCUUGACUCCAGCCUCGACCACCAGGCCCCAGGCCAGAGCCACCCAAUGAACAGUGCAAUGUGAAGGAAGGCAGGAGCCUGCAGGGGAGCAGACUUGGUGCCCAGCUGCCAGAAAGCACAGAUUUGACCCAAGCUAUUUAUAUGUUAUAAAGUUAUAAUAAAGUGUUUCUUACUGUUUGUAA